UACAGAGGCCCCAAGCGUUACUGAGAAUCACUGGGUUUAAAGGGUGCGUAGGUGGCGCGUUAAGUCCGUUGUGAAAUCCCUUGGCUCAACCAAGGAACUGCUUCGGAUACUGGCGUGCUUGAGGCUAGUAGAGGUCACUGGAACUGACGGUGGAGCGGUGAAAUGCGUAGAUAUCGUCAGGAACGCCAAUGGUGAAGACAGGUGACUGGGCUAGUUCUGACACUGAGGCACGAAAGCUAGGGGAGCGAACGGG
rnacentral:rRNA from 1 species